AAAUAGUUUUAGGCCAGGUGCAGUGGCUCACAGCUGUAAUCCCAGCAGUUUGGGAGGCUGAGGCGGGCAAAUGACCUGAGGUGCAGAGUUCAAGACCAGCCUGGCCAACAUGGUGAAACCCCAUCUCUACUAAAAAU